UCCCCGCCUGCGGAGCGCCGCUCGCUGCGCCCGGGCCUCUCUCGGCCCGCCGCUGACGGCGCGCCGGCGCGUCCCUCGUUUGCCGUUCAUUUGAUACAAGAAAUGUGCUGUCACUGAGCAAGGCAGAGCAAGGGGCGGAAGCCAGAACUACCGCCGUAUACUUACAAGGGCUGAUGGAGACCGCAGUGAUCAAUGGGGCAAAGGAGAAAAAGGCAACAGGGCAAAAAAAGAUGCAGUUGGUGAAGAUGAGCCAGGCGACGUGCUUGAUCGUGCUAGAAUGUGCGUUUUCUGAAAGGUCCUCCUUUUCCAAGUUGCAGUACAGUUUUGUGUAGACGAUGGCCAUCAAUAGGAAUGCCAGGGAGUUUAAUAACACUAAGGUCACAGUAAAUCCUAGAGACGGCGUUUCUCCCGUGGGGAACGGCAAGCACAGGGGUGACGCAGAGUACUCCCCGCUGUGGAAGAGUGGGAAGCAGCCUGCCACUACAGCACCCAGAAAAGCGAAAAGGGCAGCAACCCGGAAGUGCUUGAGAUGACGGCUUUUCCCGUUUUUCAUGGCAUCUUUUGCGGAUAAGCUUCUUUCAACGGCUGCCAGCGUUAAUAGAAAUAUAGCACUUUCAGAGGAGAAAAUCGCAAGAAACCCAGCUAUUCUGCACCCACUGCCAAUCUCCCACCAAAUGCCAAACUCAGCAAAUCUGCCCCAGGACACAGCGUCCAGAAAAGUUAAGAUGCCAGUGUAAGCUCCCAUGAAUAAGUUGGAUACGGAAAUCAGGCCUAUGAACAGUUUGGAGGAAGGUGGUGAUGUGCAAGAUGCAAAUGUGGUUAAAAUGACCAGCAGAUUGAAAAACACUGCAACCAGAAAAAUGAACCACACGGAAGUGAUAAGAGGAAGCUUCCAUCUUUAUCUCUGUAUCUGAACUCAUCCUCCUUCAAGAAAGAGGGAGUAGCUCAUCUGACCUGAGAGAACAGGACACCCUUCUGGAAGUAUUUGGUUAGGUUGAGGUGCCCUCCCUGAAAACUCUGGAAGCACGUUCCACUCAGCCACGCUCUUUGAAAACUGGAGGCUGCCUCCAGUUCUAAUGGAUGGACCCCACUCUCUGCUCCUCCCUGCUUCCGAGCGAGCACAUGGCGGGUGUGUGUCACUACAGCUGAGUGGGGGGCGCAGGCCCACAGUGUAUCUUUACUGCAGCAGGGGUGGGGGGAUCUGAGACCAACCUUCUUCCUGGCUAAGGUUUAAAUUCAGUGUCGAGGAAAUGGAAUCCCCACCUGUUCAGGUCUAGUCUCUAUAAUAAAGUUCCUCCCUUCUCA